rnacentral:lncRNA from 1 species
GCUGGGAUGGACUGUACAUCAUAACUCAGGUGUUUCUUCAUGGAGCAAUCAAAAUCAAAGACCCUAAACAAGAAAAUAUCUUCAAAGUGAAUGGCCAAUGAUUGAAAUACUAUAUGGAUAAAAUCAGAGAUGGCAAGCAAGUUAACUCAAUUGAAUUACAGGAUCUAGUCUAUAAUUAAACUUUGGCUUGGUUUGGCUGAAGACCUUAAACUUAGAACUUGUUGGAAGGC